rnacentral:rRNA from 1 species
AAAAAUUCGAGGCUACCGCCCCAUUCGCACCCUCUGUCUACCAAACUUUGUUGCUUCGGUUGGCGCUUGCGCCGGCCAGAGGCCCCCAAACUCUUGAAUAUCAGUGUCUGAGUCGUUAAAUAAAUUAUUUAAAACUUUCAACAACGGAUCUCUUGGUUAGACCAUCGAUGAAGAACGCAGCGAAAUGCGAUAAGUAAUGUGAAUUGCAGAAUUCAGUGAAUCAUCGAAUCUUUGAACGCACAUUGCGCUUCCUGGUAUUCCGGGAAGCAUGCCUGUUCGAGCGUCAUUACAACCCUCACGCCCCGCGUGGUCUUGGGCUGGCCCAGCAGGGCCGGCCUCAAAAGCAGUGGCGGUUCCGUGCGACCCCUAAGCGUAGUAGAACUUCAAAUCGCUUCUGGUGGCCGGGCGGCAGCCUGCUAAGCACCCCCACACUUCAAAGGUUGACCUCGGAUCAGGUAGGGAUACCCGCUGAACUUAAGCAUAUCAAUAAGCGGAGGAA